GAGACAAGUGUCAGGGACAGAGAACUAGUACAAGUUUGCAAGCAGCAUAGUGGGUUCUUGGCUUUGAACAUGGUCUGGAGUAUCGGCGUGCAAAUUGUGGGCCACUGGCAAAUUUCAGGAGCGUAAGAAUGUAAAAAAGAAGUGAGGUGGGGCUGCUGGUGCAGAGUGGCCGCUGUGUGUCACCCAGGUGGGGCAGAUGGUGCAGAAUGGCCCUGUGUUGCCCAGACCCCUCCCCCCAGUCCAGAGCGCCCCGGAUUCUGCUCCUCUUACCCUCCACGUACUCCAUGACCAUGCACAGGUGGCGGCGCGUC